GUAAGUCAGUGGUGAAAUUUCCUAGCUUAACUAGGACACGGCCAUUGAUACUGCAGAGCUUGAAUAAUAUGGAAGUAACUAGAAUAUGUAGUGUAGCGGUGAAAUGCUUAGAUAUUACAUGGAAUACCAAUUGCGAAGGCAGGUUACUACGUAUUUAUUGACGCUGAUGAACGAAAGCGUGGGGAGCGAACAGGAUUAGAUACCCUGGUAGUCCACGCCGUAAACGAUGGAUACUAGCUGUUCGGUCUUCGGUCUGAGUGGCUAAGCGAAAGUGAUAAGUAUCCCACCUGGGGAGUACGUUCGCAAGAAUGAAACUCAAAGGAAUUGACGGGGGCCCGCACAAGCGGUGGAGCAUGUGGUUUAAUUCGAUGAUACGCGAGGAACCUUACCAGGGCUUAAAUGUAGAUUGACAGAUUUGGAAACAGAUUUUUCUUCGGACAAUUUACAAGGUGCUGCAUGGUUGUCGUCAGCUCGUGCCGUGAGGUGUCAGGUUAAGUCCUAUAACGAGCGCAACCCCUAUUGUUAGUUACCAGCGCGUUAAGGCGGGGACUCUAGCAAGACUGCCGGUGCAAACCGUGAGGAAGGUGGGGAUGACGUCAAAUCAUCACGGCCCUUACGUCCUGGGCUACACACGUGCUACAAUGGCAAGUACAGAAAGCAGCUACCUGGCAACAGGAUGCGAAUCUCCAAAGCUUGUCUCAGUUCGGAUUGGAGUCUGCAACUCGACUCUAUGAAGCUGGAAUCGCUAGUAAUCGGA
rnacentral:rRNA from 1 species